rnacentral:rRNA from 1 species
AGUCGGACGGUAGCACAGAGGAGCUUGCUCCUCGGGUGACGAGUGGCGGACGGGUGAGUAAUGUCUGGGAAACUGCCCGAUGGAGGGGGAUAACUACUGGAAACGGUAGCUAAUACCGCAUAACGUCGCAAGACCAAAGUGGGGGACCUUCGGGCCUCACACCAUCGGAUGUGCCCAGAUGGGAUUAGCUUGUAGGCGGGGUAACGGCCCACCUAGGCGACGAUCCCUAGCUGGUCUGAGAGGAUGACCAGCCACACUGGAACUGAGACACGGUCCAGACUCCUACGGGAGGCAGCAGUGGGGAAUAUUGCACAAUGGGCGCAAGCCUGAUGCAGCCAUGCCGCGUGUAUGAAGAAGGCCUUCGGGUUGUAAAGUACUUUCAGCGGGGAGGAAGGUGNUGAGGUUAAUAACCUCAGCAAUUGACGUUACCCGCAGAAGAAGCACCGGCUAACUCCGUGCCAGCAGCCGCGGUAAUACGGAGGGUGCAAGCGUUAAUCGGAAUUACUGGGCGUAAAGCGCACGCAGGCGGUCUGUUAAGUCAGAUGUGAAAUCCCCGGGCUUAAC